rnacentral:piRNA from 1 species
UUUACAAAGUUGUCUUUGAAAGAUUAGGCAC